AAGCCUUACAUUCUCCAGUAAUUUCAAUAUCAUAAACCUACUACUAUUCUGUUAUGGCAGCCUUAAUUCUACAGUUCUCCAUAGCCAGAUCCAACACUUAGAAAUAUCCAUUCUAUCAAAAUUCAAGUGCAGUGGCUGCAUUAAAAUCUUGCUCCUGCUCAAACCUGACAGUGACCAAAUCACAUUGUGAGACUCAGCCUUGUACUCAGAGCAGCAGAAGCCAUUUCUGGGCAGGCUGUGGGUUCACCCUCUGCCUGCAGCCAUCCCAAAAGCCCAUUUCACUCUCACAGAAUCAUCAGGAGGAAAAAGGUCUGUAAUGUCAUAGAGUCCAGCUGUUAACUCAGCACCACCUUGUUCACCACUAAACCUACCUUCAAAUACCACAUCUGCAUGGCUUUUGGACAUUUCCAGGAUGGAGAUCCCACCACCACCCUGGGCAGCCUGUUCCAACACCUGACCACACUUUCAGGGAAGGAAUUUUCCUUAACAUCCAGUGUAAACUCUCCCCGGUGCAUCUUGAGAUGACACUUACAAAAGAAAAUAGAAGUAAAAAAGUAGAGCUUUACAAUCUACACAGAGAAACAUCGCUAAGGAGGACAGCAGAGUUAUACUAUUCAACCAGGUGAUGUAACAGGGCUGGUACUCAGCAUAUGCUACCAGAACCAAUGAUAUGUGAUGAUUUGAAUUCAUAUUUUAUGUUCUUUUCCUGAUUCUGUGUAUGUAAACAGCCAAGUUCAUAGUAGAAACUGCUAGACUGAACCAGAAAUUAUCUGAAUGACUUAGUUAUAUAACUAAAUAAAUUUAAUAAAGCUUU